rnacentral:rRNA from 1 species
UACAGAGGGGGCAAGCGUUAUUCGGAAUUACUGGGCGUAAAGGGCGCGUAGGCGGCACUGUUAGUCAGGCGUGAAAGUCCUGGGCUCAACCUGGGAACUGCGCUUGAUACGGCAGAGCUAGAGGAUGGAAGAGGCUCGCGGAAUUCCCAGUGUAGAGGUGAAAUUCGUAGAUAUUGGGAAGAACACCGGUGGCGAAGGCGGCGAGCUGGUCCAUUACUGACGCUGAGGCGCGACAGCGUGGGGAGCAAACAGG